CGCGUAGGCGGUCAGGUAGGUCAGAUGUGAAAUCCCCGGGCUCAACCCGGGAACUGCAUCUGAUACUGCUUGACUAGAGUUUGGUAGAGGCAAGUGGAAUUCCGGGUGUAGCGGUGAAAUGCGUAGAUAUCCGGAGGAACACCAGUGGCGAAGGCGACUUGCUGGACUAAAACUGACGCUGAGGUGCGAAAGCGUGGGGAGCAAACA
rnacentral:rRNA from 1 species